rnacentral:rRNA from 1 species
GACGAAUGCUGGCGGCGUGCCUAAUACAUGCAAGUUGAGCGAUGAAGAUUGGUGCUUGCACCAAUUUGAAGAGCAGCGAACGGGUGAGUAACGCGUGGGGAAUCUGCCUUUGAGCGGGGGACAACAUUUGGAAACGAAUGCUAAUACCGCAUAACAACUUUAAACAUAAGUUUUAAGUUUGAAAGAUGCAAUUGCAUCACUCAAAGAUGAUCCCGCGUUGUAUUAGCUAGUUGGUGAGGUAAAGGUUCACCAAGGCGAUGAUACAUAGCCGACCUGGGAGGGUGAUAGGCCACAUUGGGACUGAGACACGGCCCAAACUCCUACGGGAGGCAGCAGUAGGGAAUCUUCGGCAAUGGACGAGAGUCUGACCGAGCAACGCCGCGUGAGUGAAGAAGGUUUUCGGAUCGUAAAACUCUGUUGGUAGAGAAGAACGUUGGUGAGAGUGGAAAGCUCAUCAAGUGACGGUAACUACCCAGAAAGGGACGGCUAACUACGUGCCAGCCGCCGCCGUAA